rnacentral:rRNA from 1 species
GACGAACGCUGGCGGCGUGCUUAACACAUGCAAGUGGAGCGACGAACCAGGCUUCGGCCUGGGGCAGAGCCGCGAACGGGUGAGUAACACGUGGGUAACCUGCCUCGAUGACCGGGACAACCCGGGGAAACCGGGCUAAUACCGGAUGUGCUGCCUUCACAUCAGUGGAGACAGGAAAGGAAGCUUCGGCCUCCGCAUCGAGAUGGGCCCGCGGCCCAUUAGCUUGUUGGNGAGGUAAUGGCUCACCAAGGCCGCGAUGGGUAGCUGGUCUGAGAGGACGAUCAGCCACACUGGGACUGAGACACGGCCCAGACUCCUACGGGAGGCAGCAGUGGGGAAUCUUGCGCAAUNCGCGAAAGCGUGACGCAGCAACGCCGCGUGGGGGAA